AAUACAAAAUUAAUAAGUUAAAUUAUGGCUAUGAAAAAUUAUAUAUAAGAACUAAUAUGUUAGGCUUGAGGAAUACCUUUUUCUUACAAUAAAUGUUUUCUGAUAUUUCUAUACAUAUAAGAUAGAGCACAACAUUUAAAACGGUUCACACAGGUAACAAGCUUAAAAAGUCAGAUCACAGAUGUCGCCUUUCACAUAGUACUGUUCGUUUGUAAUUUUUGUAAACUGCAGCCUGCUUCUACAACUUCCCGAACGAAUACUGCUCGAUACUUUCUUUCUGACAUCGUCGCUCAAACUGAUAGGAAGCGUCGAAAUAUUUUCUGAGAAAUGUCUCAUCGUAAAUUCUCUGCACCUCGCCAUGGUUCUAUGGCAUUCUACCCCAAGAAGCGGUCAUGCCGCCAUCGUGGUAAGGUUAAGGCCUUCCCCAAGGAUGACGCCAGUAAACCAGUCCAUUUAACAUGCUUCAUUGGUUACAAAGCUGGUAUGACCCACAUUGUUCGUGAAGCGGACCGUCCUGGAUCCAAGAUCAAUAAGAAGGAGGUUGUUGAAGCCGUAACUGUUUUGGAAACUCCACCAAUGAUAGUUGUCGGAGCUGUAGGUUACAUUGAAACUCCAUAUGGUCUUCGUGCUCUAGUCAAUGUAUGGGCACAACAUUUAUCGGAAGAGUGCCGUCGUCGUUUCUACAAGAACUGUUCUUGGAUCAGCUUGCUGAGAGAGCUUUUAAAAUCUGUACAAGUCGUGUGAGCGCCAUAUUGUUUACCGAAAAUUCAGUUCGUUUUUUGGUAUUCUGAUAUGUGAAAUUUCGUGAGCACGGCAUGGAAGAAUCGAUCUCCGCUCGCCUUUCAUUGCGAUGAGGUCGGCUUCCUUUUUUGUUUUCUUUUUUAUGUCAGUCAAAUUCUCAAUAGCAAAGAAGUUGAGUGUUGCGCCCACCCAAUGGAGCUGAAAGCAAACUCCCUGGCUGCAAAUUUGUUCCACUAAACGCACUCAAUUGCGCUAUCCGUUAUAACUGCAUAGAUAUAUGUAUUUGAUGAAUGCAAUCUGCCUCGAUUCAGGUACAAAUCAAAGAAGAAGGCUUUCACCAAAGCCAGCAAAAAAUGGGAAGUUGACUUGGGCAAGAAGAGCAUUGAAAACGACUUCCGCAAGAUGCUCCGUUACUGCAAGGUCAUUCGCGUUAUUGCUCAUUCACAGAUCCGUUUGAUCAAACAACGCCAAAAGAAGGCGCAUAUCAUGGAAAUCCAAUUGAACGGUGGUUCUAUCGAAGAUAAGGUUAAAUGGGUUCGCGAGAACUUGGAGAAACCUGUGCAGGUCAGCAAUGUCUUCGGACAGGAUGAGAUGAUUGAUUGCGUUGGUGUUACCAAAGGUAAAGGUUUCAAGGGUGUCACUGCUCGUUGGCACACCAAGAAAUUGCCACGCAAGACGCACAAGGGUCUGCGUAAGGUUGCUUGUAUUGGAGCCUGGCAUCCAUCUCGUGUGUCCUUCACCGUCGCACGUGCCGGUCAAAAGGGCUACCAUCACCGUACCGAAAUCAACAAGAAGAUCUACCGCAUCGGUGCCGGAAUCCACACCAAGGAUGGCAAGGUCAUCAAGAAUAACGCCUCCACCGAGUACGAUUUGACCGACAAGAGCAUUACACCUAUGGGUGGUUUCCCCCAUUAUGGUGAGGUCACCAAUGACUUCGUCAUGCUCAAGGGUUGUUGCAUUGGCUCCAAGAAGCGUGUGCUCACACUCCGCAAAUCUUUGUUGAAACACACCAAACGCUCUGCUUUGGAACAAAUCAAACUCAAGUUCAUCGACACAUCGUCAAAGAUGGGUCAUGGUCGUUUCCAGACACCAGCCGACAAAUUGGCAUUCAUGGGUCCACUCAAGAAGGAUCGCAUCAAGGAGGAGGUUGCCGCCGCUGGCGCUGCCACUACAUCGGCCACCGCAUAAAUGUAAAUUUAUGUUUGUUAAUUAUAUUAACACUUAAUUACCACAUUGAUUGUGGUAAAAAUAAAAUAAAUAGUAAAAAC